rnacentral:lncRNA from 1 species
UAUAACCAUUUUAUAUCUUCUGAUCCCCUCCUCGCUCAUUUUAAUUUUCUUAAAAUCCGUGAUAUUGGAUGCGUUCGAGAACGUAUUUUUAAAUACCAACAUAUCAGAAAUCAUAAGUUAUAAACAUUGAUUGUUCUCCACAAAUUAAAUAGCCAUGCAAAUUCCUGUCCAUUUGUAUAUAAUAAUCUAAACUUUGAAAAAAAUCAU